CCCGCGGUGCGGCCCUGCCUGGUCUGGCCGCGCGCCCGGCGCCCACCGGCUCCCGCAGCGCCCCCUCCCCGCCGCCUCCCGCCGCAGCGGGGCGGCUGCUGGGAGCAUCUGCGGACCGCGCGGGGCUCAGGGAAGGGAACAUUGCUUACUGAUAAUGACUACACGGAUCACAGGGUCCAGUCAGAGGCUAUAGAGUUCAAUCAGCUAAAUGUUUCGGAAGUGACACUGAACUAAGGAGGUCAAAGGCUAAUUUAAGAAGACAGCUUGUCUCCCCCACAAUAAUCCCCUCCCCAACGCACAGAACCCAUAAACCAACGAAAUAAAGAAACAACAGAUUUCACCCUUUCUACAAA